CAAUAUGAUGAACACUAUCA
rnacentral:miRNA from 1 species